GACGAACGCUGGCGGCGUGCUUAACACAUGCAAGUCGAACGGAAAGGCCCUGCUUUUGUGGGGUGCUCGAGUGGCGAACGGGUGAGUAACACGUGAGUAACCUGCCCUUGACUUUGGGAUAACUUCAGGAAACUGGGGCUAAUACCGGAUAGGAGCUCCUGCUGCAUGGUGGGGGUUGGAAAGUUUCGGCGGUUGGGGAUGGACUCGCGGCUUAUCAGCUUGUUGGUGGGGUAGUGGCUUACCAAGGCUUUGACGGGUAGCCGGCCUGAGAGGGUGACCGGCCACAUUGGGGCUGAGAUACGGCCCAGACUCCUACGGGAGGCAGCAGUGGGGAAUAUUGCACAAUGGGCGGAAGCCUGAUGCAGCAACGCCGCGUGCGGGAUGGCGGCCCUCGGGUUGUAAACCGCUUUCGCCUGUGACGAAGCGUGAGUGACGGUAAUGGGUAAAGAAGCCCCGGCUAACUACGUG
rnacentral:rRNA from 1 species